UAAUACGGAGGAGGCAAGCGUUAUCCGGAAUUAUUGGGCGUAAAGCGUCCGUAGGUGGCACUUCAAGUCUGCGGUCAAAGACCGGGGCUUAACCCUGGAAAGGCCGUGGAAACUGAAGUGCUAGAGUGCAGUAGGGGUAGAGGGAAUUCCCGGUGUAGCGGUGAAAUGCGUAGAGCUCGGGAAGAACAUCGGUGGCGAAAGCGCUCUACUGGACUGCAACUGACACUGAGGGACGAAAGCUAGGGGAGCGAAUGGGAUUAGAUACCCCAGUAGUCCUAGCCGUAAACGAUGGAUACUAGGUGUGGCUUGUAUCGACCCGAGCCGUGCCGUAGCUAACGCGUUAAGUAUCCCGCCUGGGGAGUACGCACGCAAGUGUG
rnacentral:rRNA from 1 species